rnacentral:rRNA from 1 species
AGGUUGGCUCAGAAGCAGCCAUCCUUUAAAGAGUGCGUAACAGCUCACUAGUCGAGUGACCCUGCGCCGAAAAUGUACCGGGGCUAAGCCUGAUACCGAAACUGCGGAUUGUAGGAAACUAUAGUGGUAGGGGAGCGUUGUAUACGAGUGGAAGCCGUACCGUGAGGAGCGGUGGAUUGUAUAGAAGUGAGAAUGCCGGUGUGAGUAGCGAGAUGUAGGUGAGAAUCCUACACACCGAAAGCCCAAGGAUUCCAGGGGAAGGUUCGUCCGCCCUGGGUAAGUCGGGACCUAACGCGAGGCCGAAAGGCGUAGUGGAUGGAAAGCAGGCGAAAGAUUCCUGCACCCGUAUAUGGAGCGAAGGAGUGACGGAGACGGAUAGUGUGACCCUCUUAAUGGAUUGAGGGCGAAGCGAAGCGGCUGGUUACCAGGCAAAUCCGGUAACCAUAAGGCUAGAGCGUGAUAGGUAAGCGAAAUCUUAGGAGAGUAGCGAAGCACAUGAUGACGGCUUCCAGGAAAAGCUUCUGGCAAUGCAUAUGCGGCCCGUACCAAAACCGACACAGGUGGGCAGGGAGAGAAUCCCGAGGUGAGCGAGAGAACUGUUGCCAAGGAACUCGGCAAAAUGACUCCGUAAGUUAGCGAGAAGGAGUGCUUAAGCAAUUAAGCCGCAGUGAAGAGGCCCAAGCGACUGUUUAACUAAAACACAGCUCUCUGCGAAGUCGCAAGACGAAGUAUAGGGGGUGACACCUGCCCGGUGCUGGAAGGUUAAGAGGAUCUGUUAAGAGCGAUCUGAAGCAGUGAUCCGAAGCCCCAGUGAACGGCGGCCGUAACUAUAACGGUCCUAAGGUAGCGAAAUUCCUUGUCAGGUAAGUUCUGACCCGCACGAAAGGUGUAACGAUUUGGGCGCUGUCUCGGCAGCAGACUCGGUGAAAUCUUAGUACCUGUGAAAAUGCAGGUUACCCGCAACUAGACGGAAAGACCCCAUGGAGCUUUACUGCAGCCUGAUAUUGAAUUCUGGUCAUACAUGUACAGGAUAGGUGGGAGACAAAGAGACGUGCACGCCAGUGUACGAGGAGUCGACGUUGGGAUACCACUCUUGUGUGACCGGGGUUCUAACCUGGUAUCGAGAACAGGUACGGGGAGAGUGUCAGGUGGGCAGUUUGACUGGGGCGGUCGCCUCCCAAAGAGUAACGGAGGCGCCCAAAGGUACGCUCAGAUUGGAUGGAAACCAAUCGACGAGUGCAAUUGCAGAAGCGUGCUUGACUGUGAGACUUACAAGUCGAACAGGGACGAAAGUCGGGAAUAGUGAUCCGGCGGUGCCGAAUGGAAGGGCCGUCGCUCAACGGAUAAAAGCUACCCUGGGGAUAACAGGCUGAUCUCGCCCAAGAGUUCACAUCGACGGCGAGGUUUGGCACCUCGAUGUCGGCUCAUCGCAUCCUGGAGCUGGAUUCGGUUCCAAGGGUUGGGCUGUCCGCCCAUUAAAGCGGUACGCGAGCUGGGUUCAGAACGUCGUGAGACAGUUCGGUCCCUAUCUGUUGUGGGCGAAGGAGAUCUGCGGAGAGCUGUCCUCAGUACGAGAGGACCGGGAUGGACCUACCGCUGGUGCACCGGUUGUUCCGCCAGGGGCAUAGCCGGGUAGCUAAGUAGGGAAAGGAUAAGCGCUGAAAGCAUCUAAGCACGAAGCCUACUCCAAGAUGAGAUCUCCCAUUCGCAAGAAGUAAGACCCCUUAAAGACGAUAAGGUAGAUAGGCCAGAGAUGGAAGUGCAGUGAUGUACGGAGUUGACUGGUACUAAUCGGUCGAGGACUUAAUCAG